rnacentral:rRNA from 1 species
AUGAGCGAAAGCAAGGGCGCCGACAUGACCUGCUGCUCCGUGCCGGACGGCGACGAUCUCCUUUGGCAGAUCCUCCUCCGCCUCCCGCAGCAGCUGUCCUCCCUCCCGCGCGCAUCUGCGUUCUGCAAGCGGUGGCGGCCCUUCGCUACCGACCUCAUGUUCCUCCGCAACUUCUACGCGCACCACGGGAAGCCGCCCCUCCUCGGCGUCUUUGAGUUCCGCGACAGCAUGGUCUUCACCUCUGUCCUCGACACCCCGGACCACAUCCCUCGUGAGCGCUUCGACCUCCAACGCUACAGCUGCCGCCACGAAUACGGCACACCCAGCGGUCCUCCCCACAGGAACGAAGUGCUGUGCUGCCGCCAAGGUCGUGUCCUCACCAUUGAACAUGUGUGCAAGGAACUCAUCGUGUACACCCCAGUCACGGGCGAGCAGCGUCACAUGGCCAUUCCGUCCGAUUUCAAAACAUUCGUCUACCACAUCAGUGGGGCUGUGCUUUGCGCUGCCAGCAACCAAGGUCACGUGCACGGUGGUUGUCACUCCAGUCCCUUCAAGGUGGUCUUGGUGAUCAUGAACCAACAAGACGAUCAUCGACCUCUCGCAUGUGUUUACUCCUCGGAGACUGGUUCAUGGGGCAAACUCAUCUCAACAGACAUUCCAUAUUUGAUUUUCACUGCUCAUAGACCCGGGUCACUUGUUGGCGGUGCACUCUACUGGUUGGUUACUACGAUGAGUUGCAGGAAUGACAUGCUUAAGUUUGAUUUGGAAGAGCAGACUCUAGCUGUUAUCAAUGGGCCACCGGUUACAGAUCGUCCCCUCUGUUGUCAGAUCAUCCAGGCCGAGGCCAAAGAUGGUGCUGUUGGUUUUUCCGUUUUAUCUUACCCACGCUUACAAAUGUGGCAGGGGAUUAUGAAUAUUCCUGGUGUUGCCACAUGGGUGAUGUGGAAGACCAUUGAAAUGAACAACAUUCUUGGGCUCCCUCCUCAGAUUCAGGCAGGGUGGAGAGGGUUCGAAACCAUACUGGGAUAUUCCGAGGAUACAUAUGCUAUUUUUAUAUACGUGGACACCAGUGUCUACAUGGUUCAACUUAAAUCAAUGCAAUCCAAGAGACUUCACAAAACAAUUUAUAUCAAUGAUUACCAUCCUUUGACAGGUUUCUAUUCACCAGGUAUAACCAUUGCUGGUGGAUGUGAUGGAGCUGAAGUGUUGCAUGAUGCACUGGGAUGA